rnacentral:rRNA from 1 species
UACGUAGGCAGCAAGCGUUGUUCGGAAUUACUGGGCGUAAAGAGUGUGUAGGCGGUGCUCCAAGUCUGGUGUGAAAUCUCCCGGCUUAACUGGGAGGGUGCAUUCGAAACUGGAAUGCUAGAGGAUGGGAGAGGUAAGCGGAAUUCCUGGUGUAGCGGUGAAAUGCGCAGAUAUCAGGAGGAACACCGGUGGCGAAGGCGGGGUCUCUGGGCCGAUAUCGACGUGAGGAGCGAAAGUGUGGGGAGCGAACAGG